rnacentral:misc_RNA from 1 species
GAUGAAGAACGUAGCGAAAUGCGAUAAGUAAUGUGAAUUGCAGAAUUCAGUGAAUCAUCGAAUCUUUGAACGCACGUUGCGCCCGCCAGUAUUCUGGCGGGCAUGCCUGUUCGAGCGUCAUUUCAACCCUCAGGCCCCGCCUGGCGUUGGGGAUCGGCGCGGCCCUCUCCGGGCUGCCGGCCCCGAAAACUAGUGGCGGUCUCGCUGUAGUCCUCCUCUGCGCAGUAGCAACGCUCGCACUGGAACUCGGCGCGGCCACGCCGUAAAACACCCCACUUCUGAAAGUUGACCUCGGAUCAGGUAGGAAUACCCGCUGAACUUAAGCAUAUCAAUAAGCGGAGGA